GCCGGUGUAGUGUAAUGGUUUGAGCAUUGGACUGCAACUCUAGAGACCAGGGUUUGAAUCCCCUCUCAGCCA
rnacentral:tRNA from 1 species